rnacentral:rRNA from 1 species
AACGAACGCUGGCGGCAUGCCUAACACAUGCAAGUCGAACGAGACCUUCGGGUCUAGUGGCGCACGGGUGCGUAACACGUGGGAAUCUGCCCUUUGCUUCGGAAUAACAGUUAGAAAUGACUGCUAAUACCGGAUGAUGUCGAAAGACCAAAGAUUUAUCGGCAAAGGAUGAGCCCGCGUAGGAUUAGGUAGUUGGUGGGGUAAAGGCCUACCAAGCCGACGAUCCUUAGCUGGUCUGAGAGGAUGAUCAGCCACACUGGGACUGAGACACGGCCCAGACUCCUACGGGAGGCAGCAGUGGGGAAUAUUGGACAAUGGACGAAAGCCUGAUCCAGCAAUGCCGCGUGAGUGAUGAAGGCCUUAGGGUUGUAAAGCUCUUUUACCAGGGAUGAUAAUGACAGUACCUGGAGAAUAAGCUCCGGCUAACUCCGUG